AUUUCAAUUUGGAAUGUUUACGAUUUUGAAGAUGUUUUAUAGGUAGUUAUUUAACAAGAUUCAUUAUAGUUCAUGAAAGUUCUUAAAUAUUUUUCAGACUAUCACCAAUAAUUCUUGCUACAUUCAUUCUACAAGAUAUGACUACGAUGGAUUCGUUCCAGUAACAUUGAAUUGGAUUCGUUGCCCUCGUAAUGUAUAUCCUUCGAUGUUUGUACGAGCGAAGUGUUCUUCUCGAUGCAAAGAUCCUGUUACUGGCAAUGACCUCAGCACACAACUGUACACAACUAAAGAGGUCAAAUACGCAAUGAGUUUUGAAGUUCGAAAAAGCAAUAGGGUUGAAACUGAGACUAUCACAUCAUUGCAGACUUGCAGAUGUGUGAAAAGAUAAUAUGUUUACAUAUUUAAGCGAGGACCAAUAGAUUGAUCAAACAGCAAAUACCAUUAAAAUAUAUUGCAUGCAUUUAACAUAUAUCAUUGCUUUUAAAAAAAUGUUUUUGUAUAAUUUUUACUAACAAAAAUGUUCUUACAGUUUGAUGGUUUUUAUUUUUUCGCAAGGCAAAUAAGCAAUUGUUAUAGUAAAUUGACCAAUUUUCAAUUUGACCACACAAUAUAUUUUUAUUCAAAUAAUCCACUAAAUAAUCGUUGACAGAGCUCUUCACCCUUUGUUACAUUAAUGAAUAUUAUUCUGAGGUUGUUUUAUUCUGGUUUUCUAUUAUGUGAAAAAAGUAAGGUGAAUAUUAACUACGCUAUAUUGGGAUAUUGUGUGCAUGCAUUCAUUUUCUUUUUUGCGUUUGCUUGAAUCAAUAAAUUUAUUAUGGUCAGCAACUG